rnacentral:lncRNA from 1 species
UAAUAAGAUGCUGAAUGGUCAGCCAAAAUUAAAACAAAAGAGGCUGGAAAUUUCCAGCAACCUUCCUAGGACGUUUUUGGGAAGCUUCAUGCAUGAAGAAUUCAAUUGGGCAGCUUCUAGAUGGAAUCCAUUCAGCUGGACAUUGAUGGAAAUAUUGGUGAGCUGAAUAAGAGGUCUUGGUUCGGCCAAUGAAGUUGAAUACACCUUAAUGAAGCCUCCUUGUGAGCUGAACAGCUUGCC